GGACUGCGGAGAUCAUUACGAAAUUCGGCGCGCUUCGGCGCUGCCUUAUUCACCCACCCUUUGUCUACGUGUACCUCUAUAGCUUCCUCGGCGGGCUCGCCCGCCGCCAGGAACCCACGAAACCCCUUGCAUUAUACACGAAAACUUCUGAUAACAAACCUAAAUUAUUACAACUUUCAACAAUGGAUCUCUUGGUUCUGGCAUCGAUGAAGAACGCAGCGAAAUGCGAUAAGUAGUGUGAAUUGCAGAAUUCAGUGAAUCAUCGAAUCUUUGAACGCACAUUGCGGCCAUAGGUAUUCCUUUGGCCAUGCCUGUUCGAGCGUCAUUUACACCCUCAAGCCUAGCUUGGUGUUGGGCGUCUGUCCCGCCGAUUUCGCGCGCGGACUCGCCUCAAAGUCAUUGGCGGCGGUCGUGCCGGCUCCUCGCGCAGCACAUUUGCGCUUCUCGGAGGCCCGGCGGAUCCGCGCUCCAGCAAAGACCUUUCAUGACUUGACCUCGGAUCAGGUAGGGAUACCCGCUGAACUUAAGCAUAUCAUA
rnacentral:rRNA from 1 species